AGUGAACGCUGGCGGUAGGCCUAACACAUGCAAGUCGAACGGCAGCACAGUAAGAGCUUGCUCUUACGGGUGGCGAGUGGCGGACGGGUGAGGAAUACAUCGGAAUCUACUUUUUCGUGGGGGAUAACGUAGGGAAACUUACGCUAAUACCGCAUACGACCUACGGGUGAAAGCAGGGGAUCUUCGGACCUUGCGCGAUUGAAUGAGCCGAUGUCGGAUUAGCUAGUUGGCGGGGUAAAGGCCCACCAAGGCGACGAUCCGUAGCUGGUCUGAGAGGAUGAUCAGCCACACUGGAACUGAGACACGGUCCAGACUCCUACGGGAGGCAGCAGUGGGGAAUAUUGGGCAAUGGGCGCAAGCCUGAUCCAGCCAUACCGCGUGGGUGAAGAAGGCCUUCGGGUUGUAAAGCCCUUUUGUUGGGAAAGAAAAGCAGCAGGUUAAUACCCCGCUGUUCUGACGGUACCCAAAGAAUAAGCACCGGCUAACUUCGU
rnacentral:rRNA from 1 species